rnacentral:rRNA from 1 species
UACGGAGGGAGCUAGCGUUGUUCGGAAUUACUGGGCGUAAAGCGCGCGUAGGCGGCUAUUCAAGUCAGAGGUGAAAGCCCGGGGCUCAACCCCGGAACUGCCUUUGAAACUAGGUAGCUAGAAUCUUGGAGAGGCGAGUGGAAUUCCGAGUGUAGAGGUGAAAUUCGUAGAUAUUCGGAAGAACACCAGUGGCGAAGGCGGCUCACUGGCCCGGUACUGACGCUGAUGUGCGAAAGCGUGGGGAGCAAACAGG